rnacentral:rRNA from 1 species
CACGGGGGGGGCAAGCGUUGUUCGGAAUUACUGGGCGUAAAGGGCUCGUAGGCGGCCAACUAAGUCGGACGUGAAAUCCCUCGGCUUAACCGGGGAACUGCGUCCGAUACUGGAUGGCUUGAGUUUGGGAGAGGGAUGCGGAAUUCCAGGUGUAGCGGUGAAAUGCGUAGAUAUCUGGAGGAACACCGGUGGCGAAGGCGGCAUCCUGGACCAACACUGACGCUGAUGAGCGAAAGCCAGGGGAGCAAACGGG